AAGGGAGACCUAAUUCAGGUAGGAGACGAAAAAAAAGUAGUCGCUACCAAGAAUCAAUCCCAAAAGGUCGGAGCGAGGCGAAAUUGGCUUUCAAACUAGGUUCUGGGUUCACACAAGACCUGAAUCAGGAACAAGGGCUAUUAGCUCAGGUGGUUAGAGCGCACCCCUGAUAAGGGUGAGGUCCCUGGUUCGAGUCCAGGAUGGCCCACCUGUACAGGUGGCAAAAAGAAAGAAAAGAAGCGAGGAAUCAGCACCUUAUCUUAUUUAUAUAGUAAGAGAGAAUGCUGGCUCUGAGUUCAGAGUCCAGAGGAACCUUGAAAACUGCAUAGAGCUAGGUGAAAAAGCCAAAAAAGAAGACCGCAAGGUCAAGCUAAUAAGGGCUAACGGUGGAUACCUAGGCAC
rnacentral:tRNA from 1 species